GCCUGGUUCCUCUCUAGGUUUAUAAUCUCCACCCGGCACAGCCAGAAGAGGACUGGCCACCCCUCAGAGCCUGGUUCCUCUCUAGGUUUAUAAUCUCCACCCGGCACAGCCAGAAGAGGACUGGCCACCCCUCAGAGCCUGGUUCCUCUCUAGGUUUAUAAUCUCCACCCGGCACAGCCAGAAGAGGACUGGCCACCCCUCAGAGCCUGGUUCCUCUCUAGGUUUAUAAUCUCCACCCGGCACAGCCAGAAGAGGACUGGCCACCCCUCAGAGCCUGGUUCCUCUCUAGGUUUAUAAUCUCCACCCGGCACAGCCAGAAGAGGACUGGCCACCCCUCAGAGCCUGGUUCCUCUCUAGGUUUAUAAUCUCCACCCGGCACAGCCAGAAGAGGACUGGCCACCCCUCAGAGCCUGG